UAGUAGCGGCGAGCGAAGCGGGAAGAGCUCAAAUUUGUAAUCUGGCGUCCUCCGGGCGUCCGAGUUGUAAUCUAUAGAGACGUUUUCCGUGCCGGACCGUGUCCAAGUCCCUUGGAACAGGGUAUCAAAGAGGGUGACAAUCCCGUACUUGACACGACGACCGGUGCUCUGUGAUACGUUUUCUACGAGUCGAGUUGUUUGGGAAUGCAGCUCAAAAUGGGUGGUAAAUUCCAUCUAAAGCUAAAUAUAGGCGAGAGACCGAUAGCGAACAAGUACCGUGAGGGAAAGAUGAAAAGCACUUUGGAAAGAGAGUUAAACAGUAUGUGAAAUUGUUGAAAGGGAAACGAUUGAAGUCAGUCAUGUCCAUUGGAUUCAGCUGGUUCUGCCAGUGUAUUUCCUUUGGACGGGUCAACAUCAGUUUGAGCCGACGGAUAAUGGCAGAGGGAAUGUGGCACCCCCGGGUGUGUUAUAGCCCUUUGUCGCAUACGUCGGCCCAGACUGAGGAAUGCAGCUCGCCUUUAUGGCCGGGGUACGCCCACGUACGAGCUUAGGAUGUUGGCAUAAUGGCUUUAAACGACCCGUCUUGAA
rnacentral:rRNA from 1 species